rnacentral:siRNA from 1 species
UGUGAAUUUGCAUGUAUCCGAUGC